rnacentral:rRNA from 1 species
UACGGGAGGCAGCAGUGGGGAAUAUUGGACAAUGGGCGCAAGCCUGAUCCAGCCAUGCCGCGUGAGUGAUGAAGGCCUUAGGGUUGUAAAGCUCAUUCACCGGAGAAGAUAAUGACGGUAUCCCGAGAAGAAGCCCCGGCUAACUUCGUGCCAGCAGCCGCGGUAAUACGAAGGGGGCUAGCGUUGUUCGGAAUUACUGGGCGUAAAGC